rnacentral:tRNA from 1 species
GAGGGUGUGGCUCAAGUGGUAGAGCACAUACUUAGCAUGCACGAGGUCCUGGGUUCAAUCCCCAGUACCUCCU